GUAAUGACUACCAGAAUUAAGCCACUGAAUGCAUCCCUCCAUGACUAGAAUCUUUUUUCAUCCACAGAUUUCUCACAUUAUGUUAAUCACCUAAACCAUCCUUCCAAAUAUGACCAAUAAUAGUGAAUUUCUGGAGCACCAAAAAAACCAAAAUCAUGGUGUUUGGUCUGAUGAUGGGACUUCAGUGAAGUGUAAUCAGCUGAAGAAAGUCAAGUCAAAGAAUACAGAAG
rnacentral:lncRNA from 12 species